rnacentral:tRNA from 1 species
CAGAAGAUAGUUUAGUAUACAUAGAAUACCAGCUUUGGGAGUUGGAGGUGGAGGUUCAAUUCCUCUUUUUCUGA